GACAUGAAACAACGUACGUGAAGUCAACAGCAAACAAGAGCUUAGGUCCCGCCUAGAGUCGUUCCACCCAGGUCCGUAUCUCACCUCCGUCUUUGCUGACUGCACGUCAGUUUGCACAUCUGUAAAAUGAGAAUAAUGAUAGCAUCUACUUCAUAGAGCAAAUACGAGGAUACACCGGGCAAAUUCACAGUCAGUAACGAGCACAGUGCCUGGCACAGGGUGUGUUCGUAAAUGCUUUCUAUGGGUAGAAGUUAUCAUUAUGGUCACUCUGUAUCGAACACCAGCAAGGGCUAAGCACUGUUCUAAAACUUUUACAUGUUAUUUCAUUUCAAAUCAUAAAAACAACCACCUUCGCCUUUGCUUUCCCCACUUCAGACAACAGAUACUAAGAAAACGGUUGAACUUUUUCAGAAGUCUGUCAAUUGGUAAUAGGAGACUCACACCAGACAAGCCAGCGAUUCUCACAUUGUGGUCCAGCAGCAUCAGUAUACCACGAGUAUUAACUUUCUAUUGCUGCCGUAACGAAUCACCAGAAAUUCAAUGAUCAGAACAACGCAAAUGCAUCCUCUCACAGUUUCUGUAGGUCAGAAGCCCAGCACAGCGCGGCUCAGAUGCCUCUCUGCUGAGCGUCCAGGAGACCUGGCUCAGGGCUGCAGCCCUCUCCAGAAGCUCUGCGGAUGAAUCUCUUUCAAGCUCCUUCAGGCUGUUGUCAGAAAUCAGUUGCGUGCAGUCUCAAGGCCCUGGGUUCCAUGAGCUGUUUGGGGCUGUUCUUGGUUUCCAGAGGCCAACCGCAUCAUUGGCUCCAGCUCCUUCCUCCGUCUCCAAAGCCAGCAAGGGCAGAGGGAACCUUCCUCAUGCUCCACCUUUGUCUGACCUCUCUCUGCUUUUAGGGCUCAGGUGACUACCCUGGACCCACCCAGAUAAGCCAGGAGCAUCUCCCUCCUUCACAGUCAGUCCGUUAGGAGCCUGAACCCCACCUGCUAGUCCCUUCCCAGCAGUUCCUGGAUGGUGUUUCAGUGACUAACCAGGGGAUGGGGUUCCUGCUGGGAUAGCUUUGGAAAGCUGCCUAUCACACCAGGGAACUUGUAGAAAUUCAAACUCUCUGGCCCCGUCCCAGACUUACAGAAUCAGAAACUGUCAGAGUGAGACCCAGAAACCUGUUUUAACAAGCCCAUCCACU
rnacentral:lncRNA from 1 species